UCAAGUCAGUCAGGGUCCUUACAUCAAUAUGUACAGUAUUAGAGUUUUUCUAUUUCUGUUUACCUUACUUUAUAUUGUAACAGAUGAAGCGGCCUCUGGCGGAGUGAAACUUAAUUCCGUUGGUGGGCCUACAAAAGCACCCAACAUGAUAAAAAAAACAAUAGGUAAA
rnacentral:lncRNA from 1 species